rnacentral:rRNA from 1 species
CUAAGGCCAACGGGAGAAGGGUUGUUAAGGAACUCGGCAAAUUGACCCCGUAACUUCGGGAGAAGGGGUGCUCCAGAGAUGGAGCCGCAGAGAAUCGGCCCAAGCAACUGUUUACCAAAAACACAGGUUUGUGCUAAAUCGAAAGAUGACGUAUACGAGCUGACGCCUGCCCGGUGCUGGAAGGUUAAGAGGAGAUGUGCAAGCAUUGAAUCGAAGCCCCAGUGAACGGCGGCCGUAACUAUAACGGUCCUAAGGUAGCGAAAUUCCUUGUCAGGUAAGUUCUGACCCGCAUGAAAGGCGUAAUGAUUUGGGCACUGUCUCAACAGCCCGCCCGGCGAAAUUGUAGUACCGGUGAAGAUGCCGGUUACCCGCGACAAGACGGAAAGACCCCAUGGAGCUUUACUGUAGCCUAAUAUUGGGUUUCGAUGUUGCAUGCACAGGAUAGAUGGGACACUAGGAAACAAUCGCUUUGGCGGUUGCGGAGUGGCCGUUGGGAUACCAUCCUUGCGAUAUUGGAAUUCUAACCUGCGGCUCUGAAUCGAGUCGGGGGACAUUGUUAGGUGGGCAGUUUGACUGGGGCGGUCGCCUCCUAAAAAGUAACGGAGGCGUUCAAAGGUUCGCUCAGCUUGAACGGAAAUCAAGCAAAAGAGUGCAAACGCAGAAGCGAGCCUAACUGCGAGACUGACGGGUCGAGCAGUAACGAAAGUUGGAGUUAGUGAUCCGGUGGUAUGUGAGUGGAAAUGCCAUCGCUCAACGGAUAAAAGUUACCCUGGGGAUAACAGGCUGAUCUCCCCCAAGAGUCCACAUCGACGGGGAGGUUUGGCACCUCGAUGUCGGCUCAUCGCAUCCUGGGGCUGAAGUAGGUCCCAAGGGUUGGGCUGUUCGCCCAUUAAAGCGGUACGCGAGCUGGGUUCAGAACGUCGUGAGACAGUUCGGUCCCUAUCUGUCGUGGGCGCAGGAUAUUUGAUGGGAGCUGUCCCUAGUACGAGAGGACCGGGACGGACGUACCUCUGGCGCACCAGUUGUUCCGCCAGGAGCAUAGCUGGGCAACUACGUACGGAUCGGAUAAACGCUGAAAGCAUCUAAGCGUGAAGCCGACCCAAAGAUAAGAUAUCCCACUGAUUUGAUCAGGUAAGACCCCUUGAAGACUACAAGGUCGAUAGGCACGAUGUGUAAGUGGAGCGAUCCAUUCAGCAAGCGUGUACUAAUAGGUCGAGGGCUUGACCAC